rnacentral:rRNA from 1 species
UACAGAGGGGGCAAGCGUUGUUCGGAAUUACUGGGCGUAAAGGGCGCGUAGGCGGCCUUCUAAGUCGAACGUGAAAUCCCUGGGCUCAACCCAGGAACUGCGUCCGAUACUGGGAGGCUUGAAUCCGGGAGAGGGAUGCGGAAUUCCAGGUGUAGCGGUGAAAUGCGUAGAUAUCUGGAGGAACACCGGUGGCGAAGGCGGCAUCCUGGACCGGCAUUGACGCUGAGGCGCGAAAGCUGGGGGAGCAAACGGG